CGAGUCCCAAACAGGACGAAACGCGCGUC
rfam:Schistosoma mattheei strain Denwood, Zambia genome assembly, scaffold: SMTD_scaffold0000178